GAUGAACGCUAGCGAUAGGCCUAACACAUGCAAGUCGAGGGGCAUCACAUGAAGUAGCAAUACGGAUGGUGGCGACCGGCGCACGGGUGAGUAACACGUAUGCAACCUGCCUUCAACAAGGGGAUAACCCGUUGAAAGACGGACUAAUACCCUAUAACACAGGGGUCCCGCAUGGGGAUAUUUGUUAAAGGACAACCGGUUGAAGAUGGGCAUGCGUUCCAUUAGCUAGUUGGCGGGGUAACGGCCCACCAAGGCAACGAUGGAUAGGGGAACUGAGAGGUUUAUCCCCCACACUGGUACUGAGACACGGACCAGACUCCUACGGGAGGCAGCAGUGAGGAAUAUUGGUCAAUGGACGCAAGUCUGAACCAGCCACGUCGCGUGAAGGAAGACGGCCCUACGGGUUGUAAACUUCUUUUAUACGGGAAUAAAGUGCCCCACGCGUGGGGUUUUGCAUGUACCGUAUGAAUAAGGAUCGGCUAACUCCGUGCCAGCAGCCGCGGUAAUU
rnacentral:rRNA from 1 species